UAAGGAAUAUUGGUCAAUGGGCGGAAGCCUGAACCAGCCAUGCCGCGUGCAGGAUGACUGCCCUAUGGGUUGUAAACUGCUUUUGUCCAGGAAUAAACCUAGAUACGUGUAUCUAGCUGAGUGUACUGGAAGAAUAAGGAUCGGCUAACUCCGUGCCAGCAGCCGCGGUAAUACGGAGGAUCCGAGCGUUAUCCGGAUUUAUUGGGUUUAAAGGGUGCGUAGGCGGCCUAUUAAGUCAGGGGUGAAAUACGGUGGCUCAACCAUCGCAGUGCCUUUGAUACUGAUGGGCUUGAAUCCAUUUGAAGUGGCGGAAUAAGACAAGUAGCGGUGAAAUGCAUAGAUAUGUCUUAGAACUCCGAUUGCGAAGGCAGCUCACUAAGCUGGUAUUGACGCUGAUGCACGAAAGCGUGGGGAUCGAACAGGAUUAGAUACCCUGGUAGUCCACGCCCUAAACGAUGAUAACUCGAUGUUGGCGAUAGACAGCCAGCGUCCAAGCGAAAGCGUUAAGUUAUCCACCUGGGGAGUACGCCCGCAAGGGUGAAACUCAAAGGAAUUGACGGGG
rnacentral:rRNA from 1 species